UACGUAGGGGGCUAGCGUUGUCCGGAAUCAUUGGGCGUAAAGCGCGCGUAGGCGGCCAGAUAAGUCCGGUGUGAAAGUCACAGGCUCAACCUGUGAAUGCCGCUGGAAACUGUCUGGCUAGAGUCCGGAAGGGGCGAGUGGAAUUCCUGGUGUAGCGGUGAAAUGCGCAGAUAUCAGGAAGAACACCAAUGGCGAAGGCAGCUCUCUGGGACGGUACUGACGCUGAGACGCGAAAAGCGUGGGGAGCGAACAGG
rnacentral:rRNA from 1 species